rnacentral:rRNA from 1 species
AGUCGAGCGGAUGAAGGGAGCUUGCUCCUGGAUUCAGCGGCGGACGGGUGAGUAAUGCCUAGGAAUCUGCCUGGUAGUGGGGGAUAACGUCCGGAAACGGGCGCUAAUACCGCAUACGUCCUGAGGGAGAAAGUGGGGGAUCUUCGGACCUCACGCUAUCAGAUGAGCCUAGGUCGGAUUAGCUAGUUGGUGGGGUAAAGGCCUACCAAGGCGACGAUCCGUAACUGGUCUGAGAGGAUGAUCAGUCACACUGGAACUGAGACACGGUCCAGACUCCUACGGGAGGCAGCAGUGGGGAAUAUUGGACAAUGGGCGAAAGCCUGAUCCAGCCAUGCCGCGUGUGUGAAGAAGGUCUUCGGAUUGUAAAGCACUUUAAGUUGGGAGGAAGGGCAGUAAGUUAAUACCUUGCUGUUUUGACGUUACCAACAGAAUAAGCACCGGCUAACUUCGUGCCAGCAGCCGCGGUAAUACGAAGGGUGCAAGCGUUAAUCGGAAUUACUGGGCGUAAAGCGCGCGUAGGUGGUUCAGCAAGUUGGAUGUGAAAUCCCCGGGCUCAACCUGGGAACUGCAUCCAAAACUACUGAGCUAGAGUACGGUAGAGGGUGGUGGAAUUUCCUGUGUAGCGGUGAAAUGCGUAGAUAUAGGAAGGAACACCAGUGGCGAAGGCGACCACCUGGACUGAUACUGACACUGAGGUGCGAAAGCGUGGG